rnacentral:lncRNA from 10 species
CAUUUCUGUAGCUGACAUUAGAUUUCUCAGGAAUCUAGUCCAGGAAUCUCUGCAUCAAGUUCAGAUGAAUUUCUUUGGAGACGUGUUCUCCAAACAUGAGUGGAGAAAGCAGACCUACAGGUCCCUCCUGGCAGUUUUUCUAUCUUAAGGUCUCCUGAAAAGAACAUAUUGAGAAAAAAUAAGACAUGCAGAUACACACAGAACCAGUUUAGUCUAAUUCCUGAUUUCUCUAACUUCACAAUGAUACAGUUUUAAUAAAGGUACAUUCAAUUUACAUUAACAGAAUAUUUAAUAUUCUAGUUUUCAACUUAUGAAUUCAGAUUUAAUUGGCUUUAUAUUUUUUCUAAAAACAAUGAAUGGGUGUAUAUAGUAUAUUCGUGUUGAAGGACUGUAUUAGAUAAUACUCAUAAACCAUUUCAGAUCUCUUCAGCUUCACCUGUCUUUCAUUCCAGCCACUGCUAUGAUGAACAGUGCUGCGCAGACUCUGACCCACUUCGUGCAGGUGCAAUCUGACUGUCCUUUGUGCCAGUUCUGUGCCAUGCACAACACAUCUUCCACCCAGCAGCUUCUCUGUUGAUGCCAUGGAGUAGGAUGCUACAGAAAUCUGUUUCAUACUAAACCAUACACAACCCAGAAGCACAAAUCUCUAUUUGUCCCUUGAUGUAAACCUUUGACAAAUAGAUGUUGGAAGCCAAUGGAAAAUGGUAAGCUUAUUCAACUGUCAACUUAAAGUAGCUGUGAAAACCAGAAGGCCAACAUGGAAAUUUUAGAGCCUAAAGGAGACUCAUCUCUUGCAACAUCAGGACAAACUAUUGAAUAUCAGGCAUGAAAUUUAAUGGCAAGAGUGGUAAGAUGGCCGAGAAAAGUGAAUAUAGACUUGAUAGUCGCCCAUGCCAAACUGAGGCCUUCAUAACAAACUGAGGCCUUCAUAAGAAACAAAGGGAACUCUGAGACCUGUGAUGGAGAUGUUUGGUGGAUGAGCUUGAGAAUCUUGAACUCUCCAAUUCCCUUAAAUUCUCCAUAAAUGCACAAGUAGAGGAGAGCAACCUGUAUACCCUUCAAGGUCUCCCCAGGUGUGGGUGACUUGCAAGCUGACAGAUGUCCUCCUUCAGAGCUAUCCCCACCACCCCUCAUUGUGCCCAGGCCUAUAACAGGGUCAGGUGUUGGCACAGCUGACAGAAGAAUGUAAAGCCCAUACUCAGGGAGGGAGUAGCUUACACUUGAAGGAAUCGUAAUAACUGGCUGACACAUACUACAGGGACUGAGAGAACACACGUAAGAGAGGCUUUUGAGGGUUAGUGGUCCAGGAGGAGAAAUAUAAAGCCAGAUAGAGGAGAAUUUAGUAGAAAGGAGAACUAGCCCUGCUACACUAUGGGAAUGCUUUCUUGAAAUUAGACAUGAUGGGUCCAUGGUAAAUUAGGAGGACAUGCCAGCACCUCCUUGGCUAAGUAGUAAGAAAGUACCAAGAAAGGAGCCAGAAGAGUCAGAGAGAUUGAAAUGUUAAAGUGGAUUUCUCAGUAAGAACAGAAAACCCUGAUAGGUGCAGCAAAUCACCAUGGCACACGUUUACCUAUGUAACAAACCUACACAUCCUGCACAUGUACCCUGGAACUUUAAAUUAAGUUAAAUUAAAAUGUUUUUUAAAAGACCGGAAAACCC